rnacentral:rRNA from 1 species
AUGCAGUCGAACGGUGAAGCCAAGCUUGCUUGGUGGAUCAGUGGCGAACGGGUGAGUAACACGUGAGCAACCUGCCCUGGACUCUGGGAUAAGCGCUGGAAACGGCGUCUAAUACUGGAUAUGAGACGUGAUCGCAUGGUCGUGUUUGGAAAGAUUUUUCGGUCUGGGAUGGGCUCGCGGCCUAUCAGCUUGUUGGUGAGGUAAUGGCUCACCAAGGCGUCGACGGGUAGCCGGCCUGAGAGGGUGACCGGCCACACUGGGACUGAGACACGGCCCAGACUCCUACGGGAGGCAGCAGUGGGGAAUAUUGCACAAUGGGCGGAAGCCUGAUGCAGCAACGCCGCGUGAGGGAUGACGGCCUUCGGGUUGUAAACCUCUUUUAGCAGGGAAGAAGCGAAAGUGACGGUACCUGCAGAAAAAGCGCCGGCUAACUACGUGCCAGCAGCCGCGGUAAUACGUAGGGCGCAAGCGUUAUCCGGAAUUAUUGGGCGUAAAGAGCUCGUAGGCGGUUUGUCGCGUCUGCUGUGAAAUCCCGAGGCUCAACCUCGGGUCUGCAGUGGGUACGGGCAGACUAGAGUGCGGUAGGGGAGAUUGGAAUUCCUGGUGUAGCGGUGGAAUGCGCAGAUAUCAGGAGGAACACCGAUGGCGAAGGCAGAUCUCUGGGCCGUAACUGACGCUGAGGAGCGAAAGGGUGGGGAGCAAACAGGCUUAGAUACCCUGGUAGUCCACCCCGUAAACGUUGGGAACUAGUUGUGGGGACCAUUCCACGGUUUCCGUGACGCAGCUAACGCAUUAAGUUCCCCGCCUGGGGAGUACGGCCGCAAGGCUAAAACUCAAGGAAUUGACGGGGACCCGCACAAGCGGCGGAGCAUGCGGAUUAAUUCGAUGCAACGCGAAGAACCUUACCAAGGCUUGACAUAUACGARAACGGGCCAGAAAUGGUCACUCUUUGGACACUCGUAAACAGUGUGCAUGGUUGUCGUCAGCUCGUGUCGUGAGAUGUUGGGUUAGUCCCGCACGAGCGCACCCUCGUUCUAUGUUGCAGCACGUAUGUGGACUCAUGGGAUACUGCGGGUCACUCGAGAAGGUGGGAUGACGUCAUCAUCAUGCCCUNAGUCUGGAUGCNGCAUGCUACAUGGACGUACACGCUGCANCGUAAGUGAACGAAUCCCAAAAGCCGGUCCNG